rnacentral:tRNA from 1 species
GCGCCCCUAGCUCAACGGUGGAGCACCGGAUCCUUAAUCCGGAGGUUGGGUGGUUCGAGUCCCCCGGGGCGCA